rnacentral:rRNA from 1 species
GACAGAGGGGGCAAGCGUUGCUCGGAAUCACUGGGCGUAAAGGGUGCGUAGGCGGCGCGGUAAGUCGGGUGUGAAAUCUCGGGGCUUAACUCCGAAACUGCAUUCGAUACUGCCGUGCUUGAGGACUGGAGAGGAGACUGGAAUUUACGGUGUAGCGGUGAAAUGCGUAGAUAUCGUAAGGAAGACCAGUGGCGAAGGCGGGUCUCUGGACAGUUCCUGACGCUGAGGCACGAAGGUCAGGGGAGCAAACGGG